GAGUUUGAUCGUGGCUCAGGACGAACGCUGGCGGCGCGCCUAACACAUGCAAGUCGAACGGAGUUAUUUGAAAGCUUGCUUUUGGAUAACUGAGUGGCGGACGGGUGAGUAACGCGUGAGUAACCUGCCUUAAAGAGGGGGAUAACGUCUGGAAACGGACGCUAAUACCGCAUGACAUACGGACAUGGCAUCAUGAUCGUAUCAAAGGAGCAAUCCGCUUUAAGAUGGACUCGCGUCCAAUUAGCUAGUUGGUGAGGUAACGGCCC
rnacentral:rRNA from 1 species